CGUGCAGGCGGCAUGAUAAGUUGGAUGUGAAAUCUCCUGGCUCAACUGGGAGGGGACGUUCAAUACUGUCAAGCUAGAGGACGGCAGAGGGAGGUGGAAUUCCCGGUGUAGUGGUGAAAUGCGUAGAUAUCGGGAGGAACACCAGUGGCGAAAGCGGCCUUCUGGGCCGAUCCUGACGCUCAGACGCGAAAGCUAGGGGAGCGAACG
rnacentral:rRNA from 1 species